UCUCUCUCUCUCUCUACUUUUCCGUGCUUUAUCCUGUCCAGCUCUUUCUUAGGCUCUCUCGAGUGGUUCAUCACCUACACUUCAUUUCCUGUUUCUCGUCUCCUCCUUCUUCGUCCCACGCUGUAAGUCUGAAAAUCAUGAGUGAAAUCGAAGAGAAAACGUGUCUGAUAUGUGCCGAGGAAAUGGAUUUGACGGAUCAGCAACUAAAGCCGUGGAAAUGCAGUUAUGAGGUAUGUGUUUGGUGCUGGCAUCACAUUAUGGAAAUGGGAGAGAAGGAUGGAAAGGAGGGCCACAGUCCAGUAUGUCGUACACCUUAUGACAAGAAAUUGUUGGAGUGGCAGCACAUGGUAUCGUUUCAGGUUAAUGUAUGUUGUUAUGUGACAACUGACAAGUUGAGGAUAGAAACUGUUUCCCUCCUUGAACGGAUUGGUGACUGAAAUUAAUGUGAAGCGGAAACAGAAAAAACCCAAGGGAUCUGAAGUAAAGAAACAGCAUCUUACUGAUGUUAGAGUUCUCCAACGGAGCCUAGUGUAUGUGAUUGGAAUACCUCUUCACCUUGCAAGUGAAGACCUUCUCAAGUGAAGGGAGUAUUUUGGCUAGUACGGAAAGAUUUUAAAGGUUUCUAUCUCUUGUACAGCAAAUGGGGCUAUCCAACAGGCUCCAAACAACAGUUGCUAUGUGUAAGUGAGGUUACCACUUUCAAUGUUCUAUAAGGCAGGGAGGUAGUUUACUAUCUCUAGACAAAGAGCUGGGCACCACGUAGUGCUCUCUCUCUAGACAGAUAGCUGGGUGCCAUUACAUAAUCUCCCACUCUCUCUCAUAGAGAGCUUGGUCUUCAGCCGCCACAUAAUUUCACCAUUUUCAUGCUAGUUGGGUCUUCAGCCACCGCAUAACCUCACCAUUUUCAUGCUAGCUGAGCUUUCAGCCAUGGCAACAUCACCUAUCACAGCAUCACCCAUCACCUCAACUAAUGAACCAUCCAUCCCCUGAAAACCCAAAAACUUUGGCUGCUUAUUUCACAACCCUGCUUGCUUGGGCUGUUGUUUGCUAUUGGUACCAGUCCUCCAGG